rnacentral:rRNA from 1 species
GUGGGGAAUAUUGGACAAUGGGGGGAACCCUGAUCCAGCCAUGCCGCGUGUGUGAAGAAGGCCUUUUGGUUGUAAAGCACUUUAAGCGAGGAGGAGGCUACCGAGAUUAAUACUCUUGGAUAGUGGACGUUACUCGCAGAAUAAGCACCGGCUAACUCUGUGCCAGCAGCCGCGGUAAUACAGAGGGUGCAAGCGUUAAUCGGAUUUACUGGGCGUAAAGCGCGCGUAGGUGGCCAAUUAAGUCAAAUGUGAAAUCCCCGAGCUUAACUUGGGAAUUGCAUUCGAUACUGGUUGGCUAGAGUAUGGGAGAGGAUGGUAGAAUUCCAGGUGUAGCGGUGAAAUGCGUAGAGAUCUGGAGGAAUACCGAUGGCGAAGGCAGCCAUCUGGCCUAAUACUGACACUGAGGUGCGAAAGCAUGGGGAGCAAACAGGAUUAGAUACCCUUUAGUCC